AGCAGUGAGACUCCCACAGCAGAGACAACCAAACUGAAGCUUUUUCUCCUGAGAAGUCACUGGAAUGACCGAUAUGAAGACUUGGAUGGUUGAAAGUCACACAUUCUCUUCCCGUUAAUGACUUUGAGCCUCGAGGCCUCAGACAGGAGCCUGCAGACCUUCGGAUUGAUCCCCUCCCGUCUCCUUCAGAGUCAUCAGGUGUUUGCAGAGAGAUGAUUCACCUUGUUGGUUCAGGAUUGGACUGUCGAUGUUCAGCACCAUGGACAGCUCCUGCUCUGUAUCACCUGAUCAGAUGGCAACAUUUCAACUGUUGUGCUCAGAAGAGAAGCUGUGCCGUAUGUGAGAGACACCCAGCAGAGAACAGAAGAACAGCUAGAGCACCUCUUAAAAAGUCACACUUUCAUGUUCUCUUUGAGAGACUUUAAAAGGACAUACCUGACAAACAUUUGCUAUUUUAAUGUUGCUGUAGGGUUAGGUAAGUUGUGGGCAAGUUUUCAGAUAAGGGAAAAAAAUGUAUUACGUUAACACUUGCAAGUCUUAAUUACAUUUUACAAUGUUAUGAGGUGUUUUUAAUUAUAUAACAAGUGUCAGCAUUAUUCGGCUGUUUUUUAUUCCUCUUUUUGCUUAAACUAUAUUGUAGUACAGUUUAGAAUAAGUACAUAUGUGAAAUUCUUUGUACUAACUAUAAGAUGUAAUAGCUUCUACUGAAGCACAGUAAAGCAUAAGACAUUCCAAAUACUAAAUCACUUUUCACUGAAUUGUUACGCUGAUCAUAUCAUUUGUAUCAUAAACUGAUGUUUUAGUUAGAAAAAUGCAAGUUUGAAGCAUUCUCACUAGUAGUCUCAGAUUUGACCCCAACUUAUGUGACAGCGGUGUUAAAAAAAGCUCUCAGUGCAUAACCUGGUUUGAGGAUCUUUCAUGCCUUGUGUCUUUGGGAUGACCUGCUGUUUUUGGUCCUAUCAGAGUUCUUACAUCUCUUCGGCGUCUCUCUGGCAGCAGAGGACAGAGGAGAAGAUCAAGACGCCUUUGAUGUGUUGCCCACUGCAGGCGAUACCGGGAUAUGGAAUAUGAUUUCUGAAAAAUGUAACAUCUAGAUUAAAAAGUAACAUCUGGUUGAAAUUCACAACAGGGAGUGGUAUGAUUUAUGAGCUGAAUUAUUUUGAAGUGAAGUAAAUAGAUUGUUCAUUAUAUUAUUUUCUUAAGCAAACUAAGCUUUCUUUGACACUUUGAUACAUUUGCUUGGUUUUGUGUAUCAGGGAUAAAAAAAAAAAUCAAAAAGAAUUUAACAGUUUAGGUUUCCAUUCCUCUUUAAAAUUCUGGUUCCUUAAAGGUUCCAAUAAUUAUUAUUUUUAGGGCUUUAAUAGUGAAAUAUUUGGGAAAAGUCUAACUUCUAGCUGUAUGUUUUUACAGAGUAUAAAGAACCAG
ensembl:lncRNA